ensembl:lncRNA
UAUACAUGAAGUAAACUGGGAUCCUAGUAAGCAGAAUUCAGACAUAAUUCACCAAAAAUCACAUUUAUGAGGUAAAUAAGGGCCCAAAUAACAAAUCUAUGAGGUAAAUUAGACCUUAUGUGAGGAAAAUUCUGUCAUAAGUGACCCAAAAUGCACUUAUGAGUUAAGUGAGAGGCCCAGUAAGAGAGUUGUGAGGUAAACUGGGCUCCCAGUAAGAGAUAUAUGAAGUAAACUGGGAUCCUAGUAAGCAGAAUUCUGACAUAAUUCACCAAAAAUCACAUUUAUGAGGUAAAUAAGGGCCCAAAUAACAGAUCUAUGAGGUAAAUUAGGCCUUAUGUGAGAAAAAUCCUGUCAGAAAUGGACCAAAGUGCACUUAUGAGGAAAGUGAGAGGCCCAGUAAGAGAGCUGAGGGUAAAGUGGGCUCCCAGUUAGCAAAAUUCAAACAUAAAUGACCCAAAAACUCAUUUAUGAGGUAAAUUAGGCCCUAAAUAACAAAUCUAUGAGGUAAAUUAGGCCUUAUGUGAGGAAAAUCCUGUCAUAAAUGACCCAAAGUGCACUUAUGAGGUAAGUGAGAGGCCCAGUAAGAGAGCUGUGAGGUACACUGUGCUCCCAGUAAGAGAUAUAUGAGCUAAACUGGUCUCCUAGUAAGCAAAAUUCUGACAUAAAUGACCCAAAAACACAUUUAUGAGGUAAAUAAGGCCCCAAAUAACAGACCUAUGAGGUAAAUUAGGCCCUGUGUGAGAAAACCCCCACCACAGAAGCCCCGUAAGGCCCAGUGUGGUCAAUGGGCUCCCAUUAACUCAGCCUUAGACCCACGGAGACCCCCGGGAACCCAACAUGACGUCACCGAACGGCCCCCAAAUCCCCUUUUUUGAGCUCAUAUCGGUGCCGGCAAUGCGAUUUUUGAAUGUAAUUCGUAGCGCUGUGAGGUAACGCGGCCUCCCCUCCCCCCCCACCCUCAGCGUGAGGCCUACGCUCCAACCCGGCCUCCCAGUGCGGGCCUGGGGGGGAACACACAGCAAAGCCAACCCCCCCCCCCCCCCCCAACACCCCGUCCCACAGCAGCCCACAGCACGGAAACAGGAGUUAAAUAGAAAAGAAAAAAUAAGGGUAAAAAGGAGGAAAGAUACCAACCCAACCCCCCUCCACACGUACAUAAGGAGCCGCGGUCGGGCCCGGGUGGGGCCGGAACCAUUGCGGGGCUCGCGUAGAAGUGUGUGUGUGGGGGGGGG